rnacentral:rRNA from 1 species
AGAGUUUGAUCCUGGCUCAGGAUGAACGCUAGCGGGAGGCUUAAUACAUGCAAGUCGAACGGUAACAGGGGACUUCGGUCCUGCUGACGAGUGGCGCACGGGUGAGUAACGCGUACGCAAUCUGCCCUUGAGAGGGGGAUAGCCCUGGGAAACUGGGAGUAAUCCGCCAUAGUUUCUAGUAGUGGCAUCACUAUUAGAAUAAAACUUCGGUGUUCAAGGAUGAGCGUGCGUCUGAUUAGCUAGUUGGUAAGGUAACGGCUUACCAAGGCGAUGAUCAGUAGGGGGCGUGAGAGCGUGGACCCCCACACGGGUACUGAGACACGGACCCGACUCCUACGGGAGGCAGCAGUAAGGAAUAUUGGACAAUGGGUGAGAGCCUGAUCCAGCCAUCCCGCGUGCAGGAUGACUGCCCUAUGGGUUGUAAACUGCUUUUCUUAGAGAAGAAACCACUUCCUGCGGGAGGUGCUGACGGUAUCUGAGGAAUAAGCACCGGCUAACUCCGUGCCAGCAGCCGCGGUAAUACGGAGGGUGCAAGCGUUAUCCGUAAUCACUGGGUUUAAAGGGUGCGUAGGUGGCCUGAUAAGUCAGAGGUGAAAGGUGCCAGCUUAACUGGCGAAUUGCCUUUGAUACUGUUGGGCUUGAAUUAAGUUGAGGCCAGCGGAAUGUGACAUGUAGCGGUGAAAUGCAUAGAUAUGUCAU